GGUGAACCUGCGGAAGGAUCAUUACCGAUGUGAAAAAUCCAAGGUUAAACAUCAUUAACCAGUGUGAACUGUGAAACAACUCUUUAGGGGUCGGCACAGGCGUGUGUCGUUAAAUGGCGGAUAGGUUCCUUCCGCCAGCCCCGCCAUUGUGUUUAUGAUAUCACUUUGAACGUUUAAGACUGAGAACGUAUGUAUCAUGCAUUAAAUGUAUGAGAAAGAAGGAAAGAAAAAUGAGAGACAACUUUUGACGGUGGAUCUCUUGGCUCACGUAUCGAUGAAGAACGCAGCCAGCUGCGAUAUGUAGUGUGAAUUGCAGAAUUCAGUGAAUCAUUGAAUCUUUGAACGCAAAUGGCGCUCUUGGGUUCUCCCAGGAGCAUGUCUGUCUGAGUGUCGGAUUUUAUCGAACGCACUCGUGAGUGCGGUAUUGAGGUGUCACGGCGUGUUAGCAAGCAAGCAAGCAUUAAAUCGCCGUGUCCCUUGAAGGACAGCAGCAUUGGACUCGCAUUCUCUAUUGAAACUUGAGUGCGAAGGCUAAAGAUAAUAUUUUCCUUCGCCCAAACAUGCAAUAGCAGAAACAAAAUCCAAUCAAAGCGGUGACAGACAAUGACAACAUCAAAUCUUGACCUCAGAUCAGGCAAGGCUACCCGCUGA
rnacentral:sRNA from 1 species